rnacentral:rRNA from 1 species
UACAGAGGGUGCAAGCGUUGCUCGGAUUUACUGGGCGUAAAGCGUACGCAGGCGGUUUUGUAAGUCUGUCGUGAAAUCCCCGGGCUUAACCUGGGAAUGGCGAUGGAGACUGCAAGGCUAGAGUUUGGCAGAGGGGGGUAGAAUUCCACGUGUAGCAGUGAAAUGCGUAGAGAUGUGGAGGAACACCGAUGGCGAAGGCAGCCCCCUGGGUCAAAACUGACGCUCAUGCACGAAAGCGUGGGGAGCAAACAGG